rnacentral:ncRNA from 1 species
AUUUUAUAAUUUAAUUAAUAUUAAAGUUUUAUUUUGGCUUUGAAUUUUAUUAUUGAUUUAUUUUAUAUGUAAGUUUUUGCGUGUAUUUUUGUUUAUUUAAAUAGUAAAUAAAAUUUAAUUAUAUUCUCAGUAAAUAGUAUUAUUAAUCAAAGAAAUUUGGAAAUAGUAAUUUCAUAGAGUAUUGGCUAAAUUUGUGCCAGCAGCCGCGGUUACACAAAUAAUACAAAUAAAAUUUGUUCAGUGUGAGUUAAAUUUUAUUAUAUAAAAAUAAUAUUAGAUUUAUUAGGUGAAAUUUUAAAUCUAAAAAUUUUUAUUAUGAAGGUUUUGAAGCUUGUAAAUUUUAUUUAUAAACUAGGAUUAGAUACCCUAUUAUUUAAAAUGUAAUUUCAAUCACUAAGGUAGUAGUAGUUAUGUUCUUGAAACUUAAAAAAUUUGGCGGUAUUUUAGUCUAUUCAGAGGAACCUGUCCUGUAAUUGAUAAUCCACGAUGAACCUCACUUAAAUUUGUUUUUCAGUUUAUAUACCGUCGUUAUCAGAAUAUUUUAUUAGAAUAAUAAUUUUCUAUAAUUUUUAUAAGAAUUUAUAUCAGAUCAAGGUGUAGCUUAUGUUUAAGUAGAGAUGGGUUACAAUAAAUUUAUUUAAACGGAUCUAAUUUUGAAAUGUUUAGUGAAGGUGGAUUUGAUAGUAAAAUUUUAAAGAUUGUUAAUUUGAUUUUAGCUCUAGAAUAUGCACACAUCGCCCGUCGCUCUUGCUAUUAAGGUAAGAUAAGUCGUAACAUAGUAGAUGUACCGGAAGGUGUAUCUAGAAUGA